rnacentral:piRNA from 1 species
UAAGGUUGACCCCUCUGAAAUGCUGUGCA